rnacentral:misc_RNA from 1 species
UUCCUGAUUUUCCCAUCGUUCGGGGCAUUCUGGGGCUGUUUUGGCUAUUGGUUGCUUGUUUGGUCUUGAGCUGAACGGGUGGCUUCUAGUCCGGUGGCUUCGGGGAUGUUUUCCGUAAAGGUGGAUGAGUGGUGUUUGGUUUGUUACGUGUGGUUGGCUGCGGCGUUUGCAACAACUUCCAUGCUUUCAGACCUCUUCAGUUUUGCGGCAAGGCUUGUAUCGCCUUGAGCGUAAUGCGGGUUUUCUGUGCUGGCUACCUAAUCAACGGUAUCGGUUGGAUUGAUCAAAGUUUGAUUUCGUCUUCCGUCGCAUUCGCGGCGUGAGGCGAACCUCGAUGCGGUCUCUUUGAUCCACCUCGUUGAAGCACGUGCUUCGACGUUGUGGCACAUUGAGCAUUGCUUGGUCUCUUGUAUACGGAACAUAUAGUGGGCAUGGAUCUAACGAUCCUCGUUUGCCCUCAUAUUAGCGUAACGCUUCUCUAACACGACUUGCGCCAUGUUUUAG